CAGUAGCCGCGGGAAUACAGAGGUCUCAAGCGUUGUUCGGAUUUAUUGGGCGUAAAGGGAGCGUAGGCGGUCGGGUAAGUCGGAUGUGAAAUCCUGGGGCUCAACCUCAGAACUGCAUUCGAUACUGCUUGGCUAGAGGACUGGAGAGGUGAGUGGAAUUCACGGUGUAGCAGUGAAAUGCGUAGAUAUCGUGAGGAAGACCAGCGGCGAAGGCGGCUCACUGGACAGUACCUGACGCUGAUGCUCGAAGGCCAGGGGAGCAAACGGGAUUAGAUACCCCCGUAGUCCCUGUCUCUUAUAC
rnacentral:rRNA from 1 species